GGUGAGGUGGGUGAGUGGCUGAAACCACCAGUUUGCUAAACUGGCGUACGGGUAACCGUACCGGGGGUUCGAAUCCCCCUCUCACCG
rnacentral:tRNA from 1 species